CUAGGCAUAACCUUUCGGAGAGGGGAAAGGAGGAGCAAGAAGUGGCUUCCUAAACUUCGCUGUACAUAGGAGGAUUCUCUUCAGGAAAAAAACGAAAAACUCUCUUUUGUCACCAUAUGUGACAAUGAGCACUUGGGCCAGAAAUAGAGACACUUUCCUCAUCCAGCAGAAUGUGUGCCAUAUUUCCUUCAAGUGCUGAAGGUAAUAUCCUGAGGGGUGUAUUCAAUUGGUGUUAAAGGAUGCAGAGUGCCUCUGAGGAGCAGCACCCUUGGUGUAAAGGAACAUGUAGUCAUUAGGCUAAAGGAAUGAAGAAUGUCUGCUUUUUAUUUUUCCUGCUUGUUUUUAGAUAUUGAGGCAGUAUUGCUGCAGUAUUUUCUGUGCAUCUUAAUCAACUGAUUGCAGGUGGCAUCUGAUAAAGAGUAGUGUGUUGUGUACCCGUAUGUUAUAGGUCAUCUCAAGAGACUGUGAUCAGGAUUUUUAUAAAUGUCAAAUCAUAUUCUUCAGUGCUGAAAGUAAAUACUGAAGGGUGUAAACAUUUCUCAUGUUUUAACUUAAUCUAAUGUUCUCUGCUAUUGUAAUAAUUUAGAAGUCAGUAAAGCAAUUCUCUGACAUCUCAUAAUUUUAAACCUAUAGGACAAAGAAUGUUAUUUAGCAAGUAGACUACUAAAGUCUUCAUUUGCAGUCUCGUUUAGUAAUCUGGAAUG
rnacentral:lncRNA from 1 species